UCUUUGAAAUGAGCUGGAAGGACAUCUCGGACCUCAAAGAUUGCGUGGUGUCGACACUACGAUGAAAGUGCUGUGCGCGCUGCGGUUUUUUGCCACCGGGAGCUUUCAACAGUGCGUCGGGAAUGAAGAAGCGAUUGCACUGUCGUAGCCUUCGGUCAGCCGGAUCAUUACAGCCGUCGCCAAGGCCAUUACGGUUGUGGGCAAGGAAAAAGGAUGGGUUAGAUUCCCAUCCACGGCGCAACAGAAAGCCGCCGUCAAGGAAGGCUUUCUUAGCCGUGGAAAAAUUCCAGGAGUUCUAGGAUGUGUGGACGGGAGUCUGAUAGCCAUCGUUCGCCCUAAGAAGCUCGGCCCCGGCGAAACGGAAUCGUACUGGAGCCGUAAAGGGUAUUACACCCUCAACUGCAUGAUCGUGAGUAUUGUUCAUUGACAAAUAUUUUCGAUAUGUGUUUGCGCGAGUGCACGUUGUAAAAAACUUCGUUUCGUUAUUUUUCAUCAAUUGCCGGUAAUACUUGCGUUCCUAUUAGAGAAAGUAGCGUUUGUGUUGUAUGUGUAAUGACGACUUUGAUCUUUGCAUAGAACACGGCCGCACUUUUUCAGUGCUCUCCAAUCACAGUUGAAUAGCCUUUUCGAUGCUACAAUGUAAACACAUUACGCGCGACUUAAACCGGAAUAGACGCCGUAGCAGUGAAGGGAGUCUUCGUCUGCGAGCGAUCCUAACAGAAGACGAGCCCUUGUGAUUCUUAUUCGACGUAAAACUAAAGCAUUGUGGCCAACAGACUGUAAACGCGAAAAGGAGCAUCCCAUCAAUGAAAAUGGUGUGAGGGAGAAUGAGAAUGUGUGGACACCCAUUUGCUCUAGCUGUCAAUACGGCACAUGCUGUUUCCGCGUUCUUUCGCUUGUAAUAGGCACUUUGUCUGAAAAAAAAAACACAGGUGGCACUCUUUAGCAGAAUCUUGUACAAUAUGGACGGAAGAAACCAAAGGAAUUAUUUUGCACAUUGUGUUGUUACCGUAUGCCAUACAUGAGCAUGUGAACACAUGCCAACAUUGCAUUUGUAGGUUAAGAUGACAUUGUUAUCAUGCUGAUCAUUAGUUCAACUGCCUACUGCGUAUGUUGAUAUCUCCUUUUCUGUAAUUGUGUUCACUGACUGAACAGUAACUGAUUGGCAAGUAGUGUUGUAAGCAAAAGGUUGUGCCAGAUAUUUGUUGCAGUGGCACUGACACCUUCUCUUUGCUUUCCCUUAUGAGGUGUGCGACGCGAAGCUGAAUAUCCUGGAAAUUGACCCACGGUUUCCGGGAUCGUGCCACGAUUCUUUCGUCUGGAGGCAUUCUGCAUUUCGCCGCCGCCUCACUCGUGGCCUGUUACUUCAUGGAGAAGUCUUGCUUGGGGACUCUGGGUACCCGCUAGAGCCAUGGAUCAUGACUCCUGUGCCUGGUCACCCAAAUCGCCUCACGGCAGAGGGGCGCUAUAAUGAGGCACACGCAUCAAUGCGAAAUGCCGUUGAGCGGUGCAUAGGAGUCGUCAAGAGCCGCUUCCGAUGCCUGCAGAGGUAUCGGGUGCUCCACUACUCGCCUCGGAAAGCAGCCACUAUUGUUGCAGCUUGUGCAGCGCUGCAUAACCUCUGCCUUGCAGCAGGCGUGCCUCUGCCAGAUGACCCAGAUGACGACGGUGCACAUGACGACAGCGCACAGGGGCCAGCCCAGGCACAAGUGCCGCUUCAAGUACAGGUGCCGCCGCAGGCGCACCCUGUACAGCCUUCUCGAGCUUUGUUUCAAAGAGGCCGUGCGGUGCGCGAAUCCAUAGUUGGUGUGUUUCGGCUGCCCAGAAAUUUGCGCAUUGCCUACCUGCAAAGUGUGCGCCGGCGCAUUCGCUGGCAAAUGAGGCGGAGACAUGUGCUGGUGUAACAUGUUUUAUUUUUCUUUUCAUGAAGUAAAUAGGCCGUGCACUUCAACAUAACACAUUGCGUGUGCUCACAUGUGGCUAAUCGUAGUAUGCUGCAUACUGCGGUAGUGAAAAGCACAUGAUUUGUCUAUGUUGAGCAUGACAGAUACACAUGCAGUGACAAAUAACCAUGUGCCAUUAUGUUACUCCUUUGCUUUGUUCACUGUGCUUUUGAAUAUUGUCUCGCCAGGGAAUUUUCUUUAAAUAAAGGUUAUUUCCAAGGUGAAUGGCAACCAAUCUUGCAUUGUUGAAUAUUGCUUUGCGAUGCCUAUUUUACUGUGCAGUAUGCAUUGUUCCAAAGCUGAAGGUGUCUGUUCAUGUGUGACACACAAGCACAGCACAAGUUACACAGCAACUGAAAUGUCGUUCAGAGCAAUCUGUAUAGCACAUAUUGAAACGUAUAGCAACAAGCGAGACAUGCCAAGCACUUUUUGGAGCAGGAUUUCUUUAAAUAGCAGACACUCAUGCUUCCUACUGCUUUGUUUAAACUCAAGAGUUGCUUCAACAUUGCAUUUCUUGCACGCAUGAUUUCACAUAAUGCUCGUAAUUGCUGCUUAACAAGGUGCAACUACGCUAUAACACAAUAUAAACAAAAUCAUGACAAUGAAACAUUUCUUUAUUUUAUUCAUUGGGUACCUGCUUCGCCAUUCAGGCAUUACAACAGGGAGGGUACAACUCAUACAAAUGGACACUCAAAAUUACAUUCAUAAAGCAUGGAAGAAAUCAUCAUUUGAACAAAUACAGACAGUGUCAGGUGGUAGAGUAUUUCAAUCCCUUAUAGUACGAACAUAGAAAGAGUAGCGGAAAGCGUCGCUUUUAACCCUCUAUUGCAUGGCGUCCCAUAUUUGGCACAUACCAGUUACCAUUCUUUUUUGCGUGUGCGAGAUUCCCAGUUGAGAAUGUGAUACCAUCAGAGUAAAUCUCAUAGUUAUGUGCACUUAUUAUGGGCAAAUGCUGCCAUCUCUUGAGCGAUACGCAAAACAGAGGUGAAGUAGAUUUUGGGAUGCGACGUGAAACUCUGAGGGGGCAAACACGAGCAAUUGUUUUUUUUUCUCUGAAAAUUUCGACCGCAGAAACAUAGAAAAAUUAUUUUGGCAUAUUUUUUGGUCUCGUCAAUUCAAGGCAGUUACUAGUUUUCUCAAUUUUGCCUGCAACUACAGCAGAGAAACCGAAAUCGGUGUGUGCCAUAUUUGGCACAGUAUGAACUUGAAAUACAAAAUAUGGUAACGUGCUGCCAUCUGUUCAAUAGCCCGAAGUUGCAGGUCACUCUAUCACAAGAUGGAAUUUUGACGAUCGGUACAGUAAGGGCGAAUUGUCUACCAAACAGCCGCCUGAAAAGCGAAAAGGAACUGAAAUGUAAAGGACGUGGUGCUUCAGAGGCACUCACAAGCGCGAUAGAUGACGUGGAGUUAUCGUGUGUGCAUUGAUGCGAUAACCGCGCCGUGACAUUUCUGUCGAGCUUUGUUGGGAGAGAUCCAGUCCAAAAGACUAAGCGCUGGUUUACCUCCGCCAAGGUGUUUCGCGAAAUUGAUUGCCCCAGCGUAGUAAAGGUCCAUAACAGGCACAUGGGUGGUGUUGACCUGCUGCACUCACUGUUUGGACUUUACUGCAUACAUAUCAGAGGUCGAAGAAAUGGCACUUUCGAAUUUUUACGCCUAUGCUAGACUUAUCGGUAGUAACAGCAUGGGUAUUGUACAGGAGGGUGCAGGAGCAGCUUAGGAGGAGACAAGUACUACCGCUGGCUCAUUUAAAAGCAGAAAUUGCAGAAUGCCUUACCUCGCAUAACAAGUGCCUACCCAACUAACGACCAGGAAGGACUUCUAGUCAGCACAUCGAAUUCCAGGUUCAAGUCAAAAAAGCACAGGGACCAGCGGCCGCAAUGCCACCCAAAGACGACCGAUCUGACCAAGUCGGCCACUGGCCAGAAUUUGACGAGAAGAAACAAAGAUGUAAGCGGCCACCUUGCACAAAGAAGUCAUUGGUAAGAUAGAGGAAGUGCAACAUUCAUCUGUGCCUGAACGCAGCAAACAACUGUUUCAUUUCAUUCCCCACAUCGCACUAAAAAGACCACCGUCCGUGAAGCUUUGUUUUCCGCCCAUGGCAGCAAGAGCGCUCAGCCAUCUUCAUGGUGUGCCAUAUUUGGCACAAAGCUUUAUCUUUAUUAUUACAGUCGUGUUUGUUCAU